rnacentral:rRNA from 1 species
CUACGUGCCAGCAGCCGCGGUAAUACGGAAGGUCCGGGCGUUAUCCGGAAUUAUUGGGUUUAAAGGGAGCGCAGGCGGGAGUAUAAGUCAGCUGUUAAAUAUCAGAGCCCAACUCUGUUAUGCAGUUGAAACUAUAUUUCUUGAGUACGCACAGGGAUGGCGGAAUUCAGGGUGUAGCGGUGAAAUGCUUAGAUAUCCUGAAGAACUCCGAUCGCGAAGGCAGCCUGCGGGAGUGUUACUGACGCUUAAGCUCGAAGGUGCGGGUAUCGAACAGGAUUAGAUACCCUGGUAGUCCGCACAGUAAACGAUGGAUGCCCGCCGUUGGCGCCCUGCGCCUGCGGCCAAGCGAAAGCAUUAAGCAUCCCACCUGGGGAGUACGCCGGCAACGGUGAAACUCAAAGGAAUUGACGGGGGCCCGCACAAGCGGAGGAACAUGUGGUUUAAUUCGAUGAUACGCGAGGAACCUUACCCGGGCUUGAA